GGCGAGGUAGCUCAGCUGGUUAGAGCACUGGAUUCAUAACCCAGAGGUCGAGGGUUCGAGUCCCUCUCUCGCUA
rnacentral:tRNA from 1 species